AAUACAGAGGUUAAAAAGCCUGGGCUGUAAGGUUGCACGGGACGGUACUUGCCUGCCUGUGGGAUGUAAUACAACUUGUAGCCGGAGUAUCCACAUCGGGGCUGUGCUGCUGCCUACACUUAGUAAUAAAUUAUUGCUGUGACUCUAAACACUCUGCAAUGUAUCGGCGAUUCAUCUUUCAGUCGCCUGUUCCCACGCUGUCCGUUUUAUCUCGAUGGUUAAUUUAAUCCUGGCAGUAAUUGCUUCGCUUCUCUUAAAUCUCCCCGUCCCGCCAGCCAAGCGCGGGCCCUUGUGCGGGUGUUGUGGGGGUCGGGGCGGCUGGCCACCGGGCUGGUGAUGCUCGGACAGCCGAGACCGCUCCGUGCAGCCCGGGCCCUGGGGCUCCGCAGCCGGCAGUGACCGGGGGAGCGGCGGCCGCGGGGGGGCGGGGGGAGGAGGAGGAGAAGGCGGCGAAUCCUCGUCCGGCUGGCCGGGUGUGCGAGCACUAGUGGGAGCUGGAGAGGGCGAAAGGAGGGGAGAAAGCCCCAAACCACCCCGAGCCCGAGCAGAGCGGCUGCGAGCCGGGCGGCAAGGGGGGUGUGCGCCAGAGGCGGGCGGGGGGCGAGCGCGGCGGCAGCGCUGGGAGCGGCGGCAGCCCCGGCGGAGGAGACGGCAGCAGCCCCGGCGGAGGAGGCAGCCCCGCGGAGCCUUGGCAGGCGGUGAGCACGCCGAGGACGACGGAGGGCCCUGUGAACCUUUGGGAAGCGGGAAUGUGGGUGGAGUUCAUUUCUUUUGUUCCUGAGAGCUGAAUAGGAGAAAGGGACAUUUCAGCUUUUCUUGAUAAAGUAAUUAUUAGAAACGCUGUUCAUUUACAUAUGUUUAAAAAAAGAAGAAAUGUAUUGUGGAAGUCACUGUGUUGAUGCCAGAUCUUGGAUGCCUGAGCCCUGGGUGUUUUGGAGAGUCCAAAAGUGGCUGUUACCUUGUGAGGCUGUGCUCAUCAAUACUUGUCACUUCAUCUGCGCCCUGCAGCCCAGCCCAGCCCUGUGGAUUUGAACCAGGUCAGAUGUGAGAACUUGCUCAUGUGUUUGUCAGCCUGGCAGAGCACACAAUGAUGUAUUUAUAGCUGCCUUCUACCAGCUGCAGGAAGAAGGAUGAUACCUGAUCUGGUAGAAAAUCUACCAAGAUAAAAUUACCUUAAAAAAAAAAAAAAAGAAAAAAGAAAAAAAAUUAUUUAUGUCAGCAGAAUGGUUUGAUACCUGUUCAUGGUUUGCUCUUCUUUUUGUCAUGAGCUUUCAGUGCUUUCUUAGGUACUGAGCAUCCAGAAACUGUAGUUACCACCAUCUCAUUGAACAUCACUGAACGUAUUACAGUUAUUGAUACUGCAUAUUGUUAAUUAAUUAAUAUUAAAUAUUUGAACUGUUCUGAA
rnacentral:lncRNA from 1 species